rnacentral:lncRNA from 1 species
AGUGGCAGAGGCUGAGAACGAGAACAAGGAGGGUGAAAAGACUGAGGCUGAAAACAAGGAGGGUGAAAAGAUUGAGGCUGAAAACAAGGAGGGGGAAGUUGUGACAGACAAGAAAGAGCCCAUGGAAGUUGAUACCUCUGAGGUGGAGAAGAAGAGUGAGGAGGAGAACAAGGAGGGAGAAGCUGUGACCGACAAGAAAGAGCCCAUGGAGGUGGAUGCCUCUGAGGUUGAGAAGAAGACUGAGAGUGGAGGAAUAGCUGAAGAACCUCCCAAGGUUGAAGAAUCACAGGAAGUUGUUGUUGCUGUUGCUGAUGGGGAGAAUAAGCCUGCAGAGAAAGAGACUGAGAACAAGGCAGAAGCAAACGGAGAAAAGAAUGAGCCUAACCUUGAUGCCGAAGGUAAUAAGGGAAACGAAACCAAAGAAGCUGAGGAGAAGAAGACAGGUGGUGAGCCUAACCUUGACGCUGAAGUUAACAAGGGGAAUGGAGUACAAGAAGCUGAGGAGAAGAAGGCAGAAGCUGCAGCCGCUGUAUCCGAGGAGAAGAGUAACGACGUGAAGGGGGAAGACACGAACAGAAGCGGAGAGGCGAAUCAAGUUCAGCAGCA